UCGAGGGGCAGCGGGAUUGAAGCUUGCUUCAAUUGCCGGCGACCGGCGCACGGGUGAGUAACGCGUAUCCAACCUUCCGUACACUCAGGGAUAGCCUUUCGAAAGAAAGAUUAAUACCUGAUGGUAUGAUGAGAUUGCAUGAUAGCAUCAUUAAAGAUUUAUCGGUGUACGAUGGGGAUGCGUUCCAUUAGGUAGUAGGCGGGGUAACGGCCCACCUAGCCAACGAUGGAUGGGGGUUCUGAGAGGAAGGUCCCCCACAUUGGAACUGAGACACGGUCCAAACUCCUACGGGAGGCAGCAGUGAGGAAUAUUGGUCAAUGGACGAGAGUCUGAACCAGCCAAGUAGCGUGAAGGAUGAAGGUCCUACGGAUUGUAAACUUCUUUUAUAAGGGAAUAAACCCUCCCACGUGUGGGAGCUUGUAUGUACCUUAUGAAUAAGCAUCGGCUAACUCCGUGCCAGCAGCCGCGGUAAUACGGAGGAUGCGAGCGUUAUCCGGAUUUAUUGGGUUUAAAGGGAGCGCAGACGGGUCGUUAAGUCAGCUGUGAAAGUUUGGGGCUCAACCUUAAAAUUGCAGUUGAUACUGGCGUCCUUGAGUGCGGUUGAGGUGUGCGGAAUUCGUGGUGUAGCGGUGAAAUGCUUAGAUAUCACGAAGAACUCCGAUUGCGAAGGCAGCACACUAAUCCGUAACUGACGUUCAUGCUCGAAAGUGUGGGUAUCAAACAGGAUUAGAUACCCUGGUAGUCCACACGGUAAACGAUGGAUACUCGCUGUUGGCGAUAUACUGUCAGCGGCUUAGCGAAAGCGUUAAGUAUCC
rnacentral:rRNA from 1 species